rnacentral:rRNA from 1 species
GAUGAACGCUGGCGGCGUGCCUAACACAUGCAAGUCGAACGAAGCACAUUGGAUUGAUUCUUCGGAAGAAAGAGAAUGUGACUGAGUGGCGGACGGGUGAGUAACGCGUGGGUAACCUGCCUCAUACAGGGGGAUAACAGUUAGAAAUGACUGCUAAUACCGCAUAAGACCACGGAGUUGCAUGACUCAGUGGGAAAAACUCCGGUGUAUGAGAUGGACCCGCGUCUGAUUAGGUAGUUGGUGGGGUAACGCCUACCAAGCCGACGAUCAGUAGCCGACCUGAGAGGGUGACCGGCCACAUUGGGACUGAGACACGGGCCCAAACUCCUACGGGAGGC